AACGAACGCUGGCGGCAUGCCUAACACAUGCAAGUCGAACGAGACCUUCGGUUCUAGUGGCGCACGGGUGCGUAACGCGUGGUAACCUGCCCUUAGGUUCGGAAUAACUCCCCGAUAGGGUUGCUAAUACCGGAUAAUUUCUUCGUACCAAAGAUUUCUCGCCUUUGGAUGGGCCCGCGUUUGAUUAGCUAGUUGGUAGGGUAAAAGCUUACCAAGGCGACGAUCCAUAGCUGGUCUGAGAGGAUGAUCAGCCACACUGGGACUGAGACACGACCCAGACUCCUACGAGAAGCAGCAAUGAGUAAUAUUGGACAAUAGGCGAAAUCCUGAACCAGCAAUGCCGCGUGAAUGAUGAAGGCCUUAGAAUUGUAAAUCACUUUUACCCAAGAUUAUAAUGACAGUACCUGCAGAAUAAGCACCGGCUAACUCCGUG
rnacentral:rRNA from 1 species